rnacentral:rRNA from 1 species
UACGUAGGGGGCAAGCGUUGUCCGGAUUUAUUGGGCGUAAAGAGCGUGUAGGCGGUUUGGUAGGUCCGUUGUGAAAACUCGAGGCUCAACCUCGAGACGCCGAUGGAAACCAUCAGACUAGAGUCCGGAAGAGGAGAGUGGAAUUCCUGGUGUGAGCGGUGAAAUGCGCAGAUAUCAGGAAGAACACCAAUGGCGAGGCAGCUCU